rnacentral:tRNA from 1 species
GUUAAUGUAGCUUAACCCACAAAGCAGAGCACUGAAAAUGCUAAGAUGGGCUUCCCCUACAGCCCCAUAAACA